rnacentral:tRNA from 1 species
CCGUCGAUAGCUCAGUUGGCAGAGCGGUGGACUGUAGAUCCAUAGGUCGCUGGUUCGACUCCGGCUCAACGGA